rnacentral:rRNA from 1 species
AUUGAACGCUGGCGGCAGGCCUAACACAUGCAAGUCGAACGAGUGGCGGACGGGUGAGUAAUGUCUGGGAAACUGCCUGAUGGAGGGGGAUAACUAAUGGAAAAGGUAGCUAAUACCGCAUACCAUCGGAUGAGCCCAGAUGGGAUUAGCUAGUAGGUGGGGUAAAGGCUCACCUAGGCGACGAUCCCUAGCUGGUCUGAGAGGAUGACCAGCCACACUGGAACUGAGACACGGUCCAGACUCCUACGGUAGGCAGCGUUGGGGAAUAUUGCACAAUGGGCGCAAUCCUGAUGCAGCCAUGCCGCGUGUAGGAAGAAGGCCUUCGGGUUGUAAAGUACUUUCAGCGGGGAGGCGUUACCCGCAGAAGAAGCACCGGCUAACUCCGUGCCAGCCGCCGCGGUAAUUC